rnacentral:rRNA from 1 species
AAAGUUAACUUAACCUAUGGAUGGCAUAACCUCGGGAAACUGAGAAUAAUACCCAAUGGACCACAGUGCCUGGAAUGGCCUGUGGUUGAAAUGAUUUAUCGCCGUAGGAUAGGACUGCGGCCUAUCAGCUUGUUGGUGAGGUAAUGGCCCACCAAGGCUAUAACAGGUACGGGCUCUGAGAGGAGGGGCCCGGAAGAUGGGUACUGAGACACGGACCCAGGCCCUAUGGGGCGCAGCAGGCGAGAAACCUUUGCAAUGUGCGAAAGCACGACAAGGUUAAUCCGAGUGUCUCCUGCUAAAGGAGUCUUUUGUCAGUUGUAGAAUCACUGGUGAAUAAGGGGUGGGCAAGUUCUGGUGUCAGCCGCCGGGGUAAAACCAGCACCUCGAGUGGUCAGGAGGUAUAUUGGGCCUAAAGCAUCCGUAACCGGUUGCAUAAGUUUUCGGUUAAAUCUAUGCGCUUAACGUAUAGGCCGC